rnacentral:rRNA from 1 species
AUUGAACGCUGGCGGCAGGCCUAACACAUGCAAGUCGAGCGAGCGGCGGACGGGUGAGUAAUGUCUCGGAAACUGCCUGAUAGAGGGGGAUAACUACUGUAAACGGUAGCUAAUACCCCAUAUCAUCAGAUGUUCCCAGAUGGGAUUAGCUAGUAGGUGGGGUAACGGCUCACCUAGACGACGAUCCCUAGCUGGUCUGAGAGGAUUACCAGCCAAACUGGAACUGAGACACGGUCAAGACUCCUACGGGAGGCAGCAGUGGGGAAUAUUGCACAAGGGGCGCAAGCCUGAUGCAGCAAUGCCGGGUGUGUGAAGAAGGCCUUCGGGUUGUAAAGCACUUUCAGCGGGGAGGCGUUACCCGCAGAAGAAGCACCGGCUAACUCCGUGCCAGCAGCCGCGGUAAUUC